rnacentral:rRNA from 1 species
GUGCAUGGCGCAGCUACCAUGCAGUCGAGCGGUAACAGAGAGUAGCUUGCUACUCUGCUGACGAGCGGCGGACGGGUGAGUAAUGCUUGGGAAUGUACCUUAUGGUGGGGGACAACAGUUGGAAACGACUGCUAAUACCGCAUAAUGUCUUCGGACCAAAGCGGGGGACCUUCGGGCCUCGCGCCAUAAGAUCAGCCCAAGUGGGAUUAGCUAGUUGGUGAGGUAAUGGCUCACCAAGGCGACGAUCCCUAGCUGGUUUGAGAGGAUGAUCAGCCACACUGGGACUGAGACACGGCCCAGACUCCUACGGGAGGCAGCAGUGGGGAAUAUUGCACAAUGGGCGCAAGCCUGAUGCAGCCAUGCCGCGUGUGUGAAGAAGGCCUUCGGGUUGUAAAGCACUUUCAGUAAGGAGGAAAGGUUGGAUGUUAAUAGCAUUCAGCUGUGACGUUACUUACAGAAGAAGCACCGGCUAACUCCGUGCCAGCAGCCGCGGUAAUACGGAGGGUGCGAGCGUUAAUCGGAAUUACUGGGCGUAAAGCGUACGCAGGCGGUUUGUUAAGCGAGAUGUGAAAGCCCCGGGCUCAACCUGGGAACUGCAUUUCGAACUGGCAAACUAGAGUGUGAUAGAGGGUGGUAGAAUUUCAGGUGUAGCGGUGAAAUGCGUAGAGAUCUGAAGGAAUACCGAUGGCGAAGGCAGCCACCUGGGUCAACACUGACGCUCAUGUACGAAAGCGUGGGGAGCAAACAGGCUAAAACC